AUUGAACGCUGGCGGCAGGCCUAACACAUGCAAGUCGAACGAGUGGCGGACGGGUGAGUAAUGUCUGGGAACCUGCCUGAUGGAGGGGGAUAACUACUGAAAACGGUAGCUAAUACCGCAUACCAUGGGAUGUGCCCAGAUGGGAUUAGCUAGUAGGUGGGGUAACGGCUCCCCUAGGCGACGAGCCCUAGCUGGUCUGCGAGGAUGACCAGCCACACUGCAACUUAGACACGGUCCAGACUCCCACGGUAUGCAGAAGUGUGGCAGAUUGCACAAUGGGCGCAAGCCUGAUUCAGCCAUGCCGCGUGUAUGAAGAAGGCCGUCGGGUUGUAAAGUACUUACAGCGGGGAGGCGUUACCCGCAGAAGAAGCACCGGCUAACUCCGUGCCAGCCGCCGCGGUAAUAC
rnacentral:rRNA from 1 species